rnacentral:misc_RNA from 1 species
UCCCCGUUACCGGGGCAGUCUGAUUAGAAAAAUUCAACUAAUCAUAAGGGUUGCGCUCGUUGAAGGACUUAACCUAACAUCUCACGACACGAGCUGACGACGGCCAUGCAACACCUGUCACCGGGUUCCCGAAGGCACAGUUUCCUUUCGGAAGCCUUCCCGGGAUGUCAAGUCUGGGUAAGGUUCUUCGCUUAACAUCGAAUUAAACAACACGCUCCACCGCUUGUGCGGGCCCCCGUCUAUUCCUUUGAGUUUUAAUCUUGCGACCGUACUCCCCAGGCGGGAUGCUUAACGCGUUAGCUUCGCUACUGAAGCGGGUCGAUACGCCCAACAGCUAGCAUCCAUCGUUUACGGCGUGGACUAC